UAGAGGGUAAGUUAUGUAAACUAUAGGGCUCAUGACCCUAAAAAGACAUUUGUCUCCUCUAA
rnacentral:tRNA from 1 species